rnacentral:rRNA from 1 species
GACGAACGCUGGCGGCGUGCCUAAUACAUGCAAGUAGAACGCUGAAGAGAGGAGCUUGCUCUUCUUGGAUGAGUUGCGAACGGGUGAGUAACGCGUAGGUAACCUGCCUUGUAGCGGGGGAUAACUAUUGGAAACGAUAGCUAAUACCGCAUAACAAUGGAUGACACAUGUCAUUUAUUUGAAAGGGGCAAUUGCUCCACUACAAGAUGGACCUGCGUUGUAUUAGCUAGUAGGUGAGGUAACGGCUCACCUAGGCGACGAUACAUAGCCGACCUGAGAGGGUGAUCGGCCACACUGGGACUGAGACACGGCCCAGACUCCUACGGGAGGCAGCAGUAGGGAAUCUUCGGCAAUGGACGGAAGUCUGACCGAGCAACGCCGCGUGAGUGAAGAAGGUUUUCGGAUCGUAAAGCUCUGUUGUAAGAGAAGAACGAGUGUGAGAGUGGAAAGUUCACACUGUGACGGUAUCUUACCAGAAAGGGACGGCUAC